AUUUAUUUCCACAUUAUUCACAGUCUCUCCUCUUUUUCUCUGGGAAGAUCGAUUUCUCUCGAUCGACUCCUCGAAGAUUUGCAAAUCCGAUUACGAUCUUAUGAUCUGUCGAUUCCGCCUGAAACCCCGAUGUGAUUGUUUUGAUUUAUCUCACUCCUGGUCGAGGCACGUCUCUCUGUCUAUGUUAAUUAGCGUUUUGUAAGUGUCUGAUGAUAGUAUCGCUAUUGGACGAGGAGCAAACCCACCUGCCUUUUUUUUCCUGCCAAAGUUGCUGCUUUAUAUACCUGGAAGCUUACUCUGCAUCGCCACCAAGGUAACUUCUCUGUCUGUGAAACUAAAAAUUGCAAUUUUUCUCUUAAAAUAAUUUCUGUCUUUCGAGGAUGGAAUUCAAACGAGAACAAAGUCAAACCCAUUAGAUCAGUUCUAAUCGAUGUUAUAGCAUUUUGAAAUCCAAAAAAAAAGAUCAUUGGGAAGCACUAAUCUUAAUAGUGUUCUGUCAGAUUUUUUAUUUGGGUAAACAUUGGUGGUCCCGUAAGAUAUCUUUUGGUUGGUAGUGCAUGCUUUAAAUAGUCGUUAAGACAAAAGACUAUAUGUGGAGAGGGGAUGAGAAAACAAUGACCCACGGCUUAGAAAAACGCCUAAUGGCUUAAAUAAGACUAGUUGGAUUGGGAAAACGACCAACAGCUUAAAGAUGUCUUUAAGACAAAAGACUCUGAACCACAAGCUAGAAAACUGUCUUUGCCUCUAUAUCAUGCAAGGCUUAAAAGUAGACAAAGACCUAUGAGUUGAAUGGGUUGGUUUACGAUCUGUUGGAUGGAAAGAAGAUAACGACCAACAGCUGAGAUAAGAUCAAGACAAAAGUCUGAAACAAAAAGUCUUUUACGCAAAAUACAAUAUUGGGUUUCUUAGAAAUGGGGUUCUUGGUGGAAUAAAAGAGUUCAAACGGCUUAAAGAAGUCUUAAAGAGAAAGUCUCUUGGCAAAGACAAAAGGGGUCGGUUUUUAAGAUAUGCUGGAUGGAAAAAAAAGACAGGCAAAAGAAAACUUGUUGGAUGGAAAAUAAAAUAAACGACCAACAGGUUGAUGAAUAAGUCUUGGAACAAAGACUAUGAACCACAAGGCGUGAAAAAAACUGUCUGCUUGAUAUAUACAAAGACUACAGAGACUAUGAGUUGGAUGUGUAUAAUGAACAACUCUUGAGACAAAAAAAGGAAAUGACAAAUUAUCUGAAAUCAGUCUUAACAUAAAGACUAAAUCGAAAACAGUUUCUGCUUUGGAAAAAGUCUAGACAAAAACUAUGGCUUGACUUACGAUCUGUUGGAUGAAAAAAAAUGAUUAACAACUUGAGACAAAGUCUGAAAAGCUCUCAAGAAAAAUACUAUGAUGAGUUGGUUUGUAAUUUGGUAGAUGGAAAGAAUGAACAAUUUGUCUUUAAGACAGCUGAUACAAAAACAACUAAUGGAUUUGGAAAGUCUUCUGACAAAGACUGCCGACGGCUUAACGAAUCAUAACACACAGAUUCUAAACAAGGACUAUGAAUCGAAUAGAGAUUCUUAACUCUAGACAAAGACAAUAUGGGUCCCCGUCCGUUUUUAGAUAUGUUGGAUGGAAAUACUGACUAGCGGCUUGGAAAAAAAAAAGGUCAUUUAGAUGAAUAAAAAACGAGUAAUGGCUGAGAGAAUACUUGUUUUUAAAAGUCACAAAGACAGACCAAAAGACUUACAAGUAGACGAAGACUAUAUGUCGGAUGUAAAGAAUCACAACUGUCUCUUUGCAGUCUUAAGAAAUGAAAGCUACCACAGCUAUGGAAACUCUCUAAACAAAGUCUUUCGAGAAAUGUCUCACAGCUUAGAAAAGUCUUUUGAGAAAGACUUGAAUCCAAUUUAGAUUUGUUGGAUGGUAAAACAACUUAAGAAACGACACCCAACGGCUUAAAGAAACCGACUACGAAUCAAACACAUGCUUAGAAGUCUCUUGAGAAAGUAUAUGCCAUAUGCUUGUUGGAUGGUAGAAAUCAACUAACGACUUGCUGUAUUGAUAAAAGACCACCAACGGCU